CUCAGACUGCUGAAUUUCUCCACUCUCACGGCAUUGCCCAUCAGGAGGGAUUGCAGUUCUGAACAUGAUGGAUCAGAUGCAAUAUCAGAGGUGCUUCAUGCCUGCAGGCCUGUCCCAGGAACAAACGCCACGUGGCUUCCCUAUGACCUGUAAGCUGCCUUGAUCUUCUACCCUUGGAAGAAACAGAAGGAGUGAGAGAGUUAUGUCAGCCAGGACAGCGUUAACUUUAAUCCUACUUAAUUCCAGCUCCACGAUGAAAGCCUCACUUUGAGACUUGAUUGAGUGGGAAACAUAACAAUGCCUGCCCUGCUUAUCUCAUGGAGCUGCUGGGAGGAUCAAAAGUACCAGUGUAUAUGAACGUGCC